rnacentral:lncRNA from 10 species
UUGAAAAAAUACUAGAUUUAAUAUUAAUAUUGAAUAAUUAUUAAUUUGCAAAGUAAAAAAGCAAUAAAAGUUUUAGAAAUUUCACAAAUACUCAAUUCAAAAUUGUUAGGCGAAAUGUAGCUUUCAUAGCAAGAAAAUCACCAGGACCCGAAAGACCAUGAGGAGAGGGAGCCUCCUCCUGACCCUGCGGCCGCCCAGAGUGGAGCUGUGUCCUGCUGAGCAGGGCUGGGAGGGCCACACGCCCUUCUUAGCUCUACAGAGACCUGGUAGACUUUCUUGAGGAGACACUUUUCAGUUGCUAUAUACCUGUAGGAUGUUUCCAAAGACUUUAAAGCACACUUUUUAAAAAUUCCUUUUACGAGUCAUGGUUUGUUUCUCUGGGAAGUGGGUUCACUGCCCUCAAAUCACUUUUCCUGAUAUGACCGCUGUUGA